rnacentral:rRNA from 1 species
GUUGGUGCUGAUUGCGGUGAGGGUCCACCCGUUCCCAUUCCGAACACGGCAGUUAAGCUCACCUGCGCCGAAAAUACUUGUCUGGAGACGGACCGGGAAGAUAGGUAGUGCCAACA